AGAGAUUUCAAGAUAUUCACUUUCAUAUGGUGAAGUCAACACGCGCGCCGAAAAGGUAUCGGCUUUAUAAAAAAAAUGGGGCAGAACGAAUCACAGAUUUUGAACAAGUAGCAUAACCUAUGCAAAACAACCACUGCAACGCGAGAAGCAAGCGAUUGGGAAAAAGGAAUUCAUCUGGUGUAGACUGAGAGUAGACGAAUGACGAAUUACAAUAAAGAAAAUGAUUUUGCGCCAACGAAACUUCUUAAUAUAAAACUCGUUUUAUCAUUUAUGUGUCAUUAACUAAAAAAUACAGAAAAUUGUAGAGAUUAUAAAUAAAAGCUCAUAAUACAGUAUAAAA